CGGGGCUAUGGCCAAUCAAAGGAAGCCCGCUGCCCGAGGGCGUGGGGCACAAGCACGUCAGGAAUCUUGGGGUAUUUAAACUGAACUCUCCCGCAAGGAGGGAAGCCCCGAGGCGGGCUCAGUGCAGUAGAGUGGACUGUUACUGACAGGAACCUAUCCAAGAAGAGCCACGUUUUCUGAACACCGCCCUCUGAAGGCAGUCCCUUCCGGGAUCGUGAGGAACUUGGGGAUCACUCCAUAUAAAGGAGAGGAACAGAGUGGAAGACAAACAAGGGACUCUAAAUCUUGUCAAUCAUCUGGGUACAAGGAGCCCCUGCAAAACACAGCCCAGUAUUUACAGAACUACCACUAAAAGAAAAAUCUCAGUAGAUAAACGUUCCUACCUUCCCAGAACAGCAGAAGAGGAUCACAAGGAACACUGGCAAAGCUACAGUCAGAAUAUAGACCACCCAAAGCCACGGACGCUCUUCAGCUGCCUCCAGCAUCUGCCCCACUACACCUGGCUGAAAUUCAAAACAACAGUAAUUCAGAGAACUGGUGUAUGACACCAAAUACAGGCUAGACUGAUAGUUGUAUCAUGUCUUGUAUAAACAUGAAAACUUCUUUAUUCCAAAAAGAGUCAAAGUGUGUACAUUAAGAAAUUGGGGGGGGGGGGGGGAAUCCCUCAUUUUACUGCUUUCACCAUCAUGAAGUUUUACCUUCACACGUGCAAACCAUGGCUUGUAAUAACUACAAAAGGGUUCCUUACUCAGGAAACAGAAGAAGAUCUUUGUGCCGGUUUUCUGGCCCUCCAAAUCGCAACUCAUCAACACCAUUAGUCAUUUGAAAAUUUCAUACAAUUCCAAUCAAGAUUCAGCAUUUUCAGUGCAUUAAAACAUACUUAAGCCAAGUGCAGUGACACAUGACUUUAAUCAAAACACUGGAAGCAGAGGCAGGUAGGUCCCUGAGAGUUUGAGGGUCAGCCUAGUUUACAGAGCAAGUUCCAGGACAGCGAGGGCUAUACAGAAAAACCCUGUCUUGAAGUCCCAAAAAAAAAACCCUUAAAAUGAUAAACAAAUACAAACAUACACAUAACACAGGAGGGCUGGAAAUCCAGAAUAGGAGUCUAGCAGUUAUGUAUUUUGACACUGAGUAAGUAAAAAGAUAACACACUAAAAAAUCUGCUUCUCAUACAGUAAUCAGUUUCCCCCAAAAGCAGAUAUAAAUCCACAAAUAA